UUUUGUCAUCAAAAAUGUUUAGGUUGUUUUGUUAAUGUAGUUUUUUUUAAAAUUCAUAUGUUCGGAAAUGAAGUAAAUCUGUACGUUAUUUAAAUAGUAUGGAAAGCCUUAAUGACCCCUGUGUACUGCUUUGUGGAGUCGUAAAUUUGACAUUGAAUGGAAGUUCUUAGGACCAUUUUGUAAAUAAUUUGUUAAUGACUGCUUUCAUAUAUGUGAAGGGUAGCAUAGUGAGAGUCAUGCUGUAGGCAUUGUGUAUACCCUGACCAACUCCAUGGAACAGUCUUCUUUGAGAAGCUGAUGGCACUUAGGAGAUCCAGAAAUUCCUGACCUGAAAGUUUAUUACUAGAGCCUGCCACUGGAUUCUGUCCUGAGACAGUUCAAUUCAACACAUAGUCAAAAACCCUAGUUCUUUAUGAUCCAUUUUAUUAUUAUCAACCCUUUUAUGCCUCAUCUCAUGAUAACAUGAAGUAAGAAUUAUACAAUAAGGAAUUAUUUUCUUGUUCCAGACAACUCUUCUUUACCCCUCAUCCAAGGGAGGUUUAUGUGUGUUACCAUGACUCUGCCCCACAAAAUAUCAUUGAAAUUGCAUUUAGACUUGGUCUCAGCGCUUCAGGCUAAGGAAAGAAGUGCCAUAGGAAAUGGAAUUUUGAAUUGCAGAACUGUAAGGAAUACCACAGCAAAAUAUGCUUAGAAACUAAAUAGAAGUAUUACAGAUUAAUUGUACAAUCGAAAUCAAACGAAACAUAAUAGAAGGCUGCCAAUACUUUGCAAGUGGAAGACAAUGACCAGAAAGCAUCUUGAAAGAAACUGCUUUUAUGAUAAAGUAAGUGGUUAUACAGUAUACCAUAAUUUUGAGACACGGUUAAGAAGAAUUUUUUGUGAUGAAGAAAACAUAGUGAUUGAUAUCUGCAAGGGAAAGUUGAAAAGUAAAGGCAUAUGAAAUGUUUCUCAAAGCAAUUGGUACAGCAACAUAUCUUGUAACCCACAGGUUAGAAGCUUCUUAUAAGGUGGCGACUGACUUGUAACAU